UGAUAUGCUUGUCUCAAAGACUAAGCCAUGCAAGUCUAAGUACAUGCCGAAUUAAGGUGAAACCGCGAAUGGCUCAUUAAAUCAGUUAUGGUUCCUUAGAUCGUACUUUUCUACUUGGAUAACUGUGGCAAUUCUAGAGCUAAUACAUGCAGCAGAGCUCCGACCUUCGGGGACGAGCGCUUUUAUUAGACCAAGACCAAUCGGACCUCGGUCCGUAUACCACGGCGACUCUGGAUAACUUUGGGCUGAUCGCACGAUCUAGCAUCGGCGAUAUUUCUUUCAAGUGUCUGCCUUAUCAACUGUCGAUGGUAGGUUAUGCGCCUACCAUGGUCGUAACGGGUAACGGGGAAUCAGGGUUCGAUUCCGGAGAGGGAGCCUGAGAAACGGCUACCACAUCCAAGGAAGGCAGCAGGCGCGCAAAUUACCCACUCCCGGCACGGGGAGGUAGUGACGAAAAAUAACAAUACGGGACUCUCUUGAGGCCCCGUAAUUGGAAUGAGUACAAUCUAAAUCCUUUAACGAGGAUCUAUUGGAGGGCAAGUCUGGUGCCAGCAGCCGCGGUAAUUCCAGCUCCAAUAGCGUAUAUUAAAGUUGUUGCGGUUAAAAAGCUCGUAGUUGGAUCUCAGUUACAGACAGGCGGUCCACCUUCCGGUGGCUACUGCCUGGCCUGAACGUCCUGCCGGUUUUCUCUCGGUGCUCUUCAUUGAGUGUCUUGAGUGGCCGGCACGUUUACUUUGAAAAAAUUAGAGUGCUCAAAGCAGGCGUGACGCCUGAAUAAUGGUGCAUGGAAUAAUGGAAUAGGACCUCGGUUCUAUUGUGUUGGUUUUCGGAACACGAGGUAAUGAUUAAGAGGGACAGACGGGGGCAUUCGUAUUGCGACGCUAGAGGUGAAAUUCUUGGACCGUCGCAAGACGAACUACUGCGAAAGCAUUUGCCAAGAAUGUUUUCAUUAAUCAAGAACGAAAGUUAGAGGUUCGAAGGCGAUCAGAUACCGCCCUAGUUCUAACCAUAAACGAUGUUGACCAGCGAUCCGCCUGAGUUUCUCAAUUGACUCGGCGGGCAGCUUCCGGGAAACCAAAGUUUUUCUAUUCCGGGGGAAGUAUGGUUGCAAAGUCGAAAC
rnacentral:rRNA from 1 species